CGUCCACUAAGGGACAGUCUCCACGCCCUCCCCAGCAGCCAGGAGACCAUCUGCUCAGAACCGGGCCUGCUGUGCAGUCACCUAUGCAUGUGGAGCCAUGAUGGUGGUCCCCAAACAGCAGCUGUAACCCCAAAUCUACAAAACCCUCUAGCCCCAAACCCCAGCAUCGACAGCUCCGUGCCCGUCUCUACCACGGGAGGACAUCAGCGCGUGCAUUCGCGGCUGGCGUCGCUCCAGACACCAGUUAAAAAGAGAGAUGUGUUAACAAAGCAGAUUCCUAAGAGACAUAGUUGAGGUAAAGCUGCCAGUUAAUGGAUCGAGGCAAGUGAUGCAGAGAAAAAACUUCAGAGAUAUCUUGGUGUAUACGUUUCACAGGAAAAAA